GUGGGGAAUUUUGGACAAUGGGCGAAAGCCUGAUCCAGCCAUGCCGCGUGCAGGAUGAAGGCCUUCGGGUUGUAAACUGCUUUUGUACGGAACGAAAAGACUUCUUCUAAUACAGGAGGUCCAUGACGGUACCGUAAGAAUAAGCACCGGCUAACUACGUGCCAGCAGCCGCGGUAAUACGUAGGGUGCAAGCGUUAAUCGGAAUUACUGGGCGUAAAGCGUGCGCAGGCGGUUAUAUAAGACAGAUGUGAAAUCCCCGGGCUCAACCUGGGAACUGCAUUUGUGACUGUAUAGCUAGAGUACGGUAGAGGGGGAUGGAAUUCCGCGUGUAGCAGUGAAAUGCGUAGAUAUGCGGAGGAACACCGAUGGCGAAGGCAAUCCCCUGGACCUGUACUGACGCUCAUGCACGAAAGCGUGGGGAGCAAACAGGAUUAGAAACCCGUGUAGUCC
rnacentral:rRNA from 1 species